rnacentral:rRNA from 1 species
UGGGUAAUCUGCCCUCGAUUCUGGGAUAGCCCGGGGAAACCCGGAUUAAUACCGGAUAGCUUCUCCNAGUCUUUCGAGCUCGUGAAGAAAGGUAG